CUCCUUAAUUAACGAGACUUGUGUACAUACACAUGCAUUUCGGUCAAGGCAAAAAAUUUCAUGAUCUAAGCAAAAUUAAACCCGGUGUACAAAAAUUGUUCUAGCGAUGCAAUGCUACUUAGAUGAGUUCAGUUGUGCAAAUAACAUUAAUCAAUUUGAGGUAGUGACUAGUGAUAAUUAAAUCUUCUCACAUCCUUUAUAACUUUGGCAUGUGUUCUUGGUAAGAUGAAUCUCGAGGGUUAAACCCAUGAGGUUGCAUUUUUAUGGGGAGGAAAUUGUAGCCGACUAUAUCCUCCAUGGUAAGAUAAUUCCCCAAAGUUAAUCCAUUAAGGUUGCAUUUGAUGGGGAGAAAAUUAAGGUUGGCUUUUUUUGUUGGACAGGUCCUGGUAAUAAGGUUGGUUGAAUUGCUUCUGACCUAUGGACAUCGUUGGUCAUUGUGCCUACCAUUCAAAUCUAAUCAACCAUUCGAUUUUGAGAAAGAUAACGACUGUACCUUAGAUUAAACCACGGUCUAUGCUCGUCUACUGAAAGUUGAGCUAUCGUUUUCUUGUUCGAGUAGAAGAUGUAGCAUUAAAUUGUUACUACAUUGGAACCACGUUGAAUGUGACAUGCAAACAAUUAGGGACAACAACUGCUCUAAUUGUAAUCCUUUUGUCGGUUCGUCGUUGGUUGAGAGUUGGAUUCUAAUAUGGAAGGAGGCAUAAAAUCAUAUAUAAUUAUUAAUAUUAGAUUUAUAAAAUAGACCAUAUAGAAAAACUAAAUUCAU
rnacentral:sRNA from 1 species